GGAGAGAUGGCCGAGUAGGUCGAAGGCGGUCGCCUGCUAAGCGAUUACACGAGCUAAAACUCGUGUCGAGGGUUCGAAUCCCUCUCUCUCCGCCA
rnacentral:tRNA from 1 species